rnacentral:rRNA from 1 species
UACGAGAGGCCCAAACGUUAUUCGGAUUUACUGGGCUUAAAGAGUUCGUAGGCGGUCCAUCAAGUGGGGUGUGAAAUCCCUCGGCUCAACCGAGGAAUUGCGCUCCAAACUGUUGGGCUCGAGGGAGAUAGAGGUGAGCGGAACUGAUGGUGGAGCGGUGAAAUGCGUUGAUAUCAUCAGGAAUACCGGAGGCGAAGGCGGCUCACUGGGGGUUAUCUGACGCUGAGGAACGAAAGCCAGGGGAGCGAACGGG